rnacentral:rRNA from 1 species
AGUGAACGCUGGCGGUAGGCCUAACACAUGCAAGUCGAACGGCAGCACAGUAAGAGCUUGCUCUUACGGGUGGCGAGUGGCGGACGGGUGAGGAAUACAUCGGAAUCUACUUUUUCGUGGGGGAUAACGUAGGGAAACUUACGCUAAUACCGCAUACGACCUACGGGUGAAAGCAGGGGAUCUUCGGACCUUGCGCGAUUGAAUGAGCCGAUGUCGGAUUAGCUAGUUGGCGGGGUAAAGGCCCACCAAGGCGACGAUCCGUAGCUGGUCUGAGAGGAUGAUCAGCCACACUGGAACUGAGACACGGUCCAGACUCCUACGGGAGGCAGCAGUGGGGAAUAUUGGACAAUGGGCGCAAGCCUGAUCCAGCCAUACCGCGUGGGUGAAGAAGGCCUUCGGGUUGUAAAGCCCUUUUGUUGGGAAAGAAAAGCAGCAGGUUAAUACCCCGCAGUUCUGACGGUACCCAAAGAAUAAGCACCGGCUAACUUCGU